UACGUAGGGGGCAAGCGUUGUCCGGAUUUACUGGGCGUAAAGCGCGCGUAGGCGGCAGCUCAAGUCUGGCCUGAAAGCCCCCGGCUCAACCGGGGAGUGGGGCUGGAAACUGGGUUUCUUGAGGGCGAUAGAGGAGUGUGGAAUUCCGCGUGUAGCAGUGAAAUGCGUAGAGAUGCGGAGGAACACCGAUGGCGAAGGCAGCCCCCUGGGCUGACACUGACGCUCAGGCACGAAAGCGUGGGGAGCAAACAGG
rnacentral:rRNA from 1 species